AGGUGUAUCGGGCCAAGAUUUAGU
rnacentral:siRNA from 1 species